rnacentral:lncRNA from 1 species
ACCAGUCAAACAACUAGUGGUUAAAUACCUAUCGUGAGGAAGGGAGGGAGUAAGAUCAGAAAGGGAAAAACACCCCAUACACACACCUUAAGGAGUCCCUUAGCAGAGAACUUCUGAACUCUCCACCCCCAGGUCUGUCUCAGUCUGACCAGAGGAAAUCUAAUGAUUUACUGUUAAUGAUUUACAUGGUCCAUUGUUCCUACCGUCCUUCAUAUGGGUCGGUGUGCCUGUUGUAAAUUAGGAAUUCCCAUAAAUCAUGGUAAAGUUAGCUUAAGAAAGGCCUCGUCGUCAUUGUAAUGAUGAAUGUGAAAAUAGAUCCUUCAUGACGAAGGAGACAUGAGACCAAAAAUACAGGACACAAAUCUCCUAUAAUUGUAUUUUGAAUUCCAUUGAAAUAUUGUAAAUACUGUUGCCACAUUUUUAUUUGUUCUACAACGAUUACUAUUUACAUCCUUAAUAUUUACUUAGAACUACCUGAUUUAUUGUGUACACACAGAGGUGUUGGAUACACAAAUCAUCAGUAGUCCUGGUCAGGGCAGGAAUGGAUGGACUUCAGAGAAUUUGGUAGGUUGGCCUUGCAGGAGACAAAUUCAAGGGGAAACUCUGCUUGUUCAGAACACAGGUUAUCUGAUCAUAGUCUUUCAGUGUCCUUGAGCUAUUGGACAACUCUGUAAAUUGUAGCUGAUUGAUAACAAUACAAAAUAAUUCUUAUCUAUACACAUGCAAAUGAUAUCCUGCUCAUAAACAGGUCAAUUUACUCUCCUCCCUUCACCUUCCCCAGAAAAAAAAACAAUUUGGCUCCCUUUGCACAUUCAUUUCAGCAUACUAAGUGUGUAAAUGUGCCUGUCCCUCAGAUUCUCUUUUGAACUGGUUAUAACUGCCUGGUUCCCUUGUUGAUGAAUGAUCUUUAAUAAAUAAAAACAUUGAUACCUACACAUUUUCCUAUCUGAAUAAGAGCCAAGAUUUUGCCUCCUUUUUUCUUAAAUUUAUUUUUAAACAAUGUCAAAAUGAUCUCAGUGUCAUUAAUAGAUCAUAAUUUACUCCUAUGUGCAAAGAAACACACAGAAAAA